rnacentral:rRNA from 1 species
GAUGAACGCUGGCGGCGUGCCUAAUACAUGCAAGUCGAGCGAACAGAUGAGGAGCUUGCUCCUCUGACGUUAGCGGCGGACGGGUGAGUAACACGUGGAUAACCUACCUAUAAGACUGGGAUAACUACGGGAAACCGGAGCUAAUACCGGAUAAUAUAUUGAACCGCAUGGUUCAAUAGUGAAAGACGGUUUUGCUGUCACUUAUAGAUGGAUCCGCGCCGCAUUAGCUAGUUGGUAAGGUAACGGCUUACCAAGGCAACGAUGCGUGGCCGACCUGAGAGGGUGAUCGGCCACACUGGAACUGAGACACGGUCCAGACUCCUACGGGAGGCAGCAGUAGGGAAUCUUCCGCAAUGGGCGAAAGCCUGGCGGAGCAACGCCGCGUGAGUGAUGAAGGUCUUCGGAUCGUAAAACUCUGUUAUUAGGGAAGAACAAAUGUGUAAGUAACUAUGCACGUCUUGACGGUACCUAAUCAGAAAGCCACGGCUAACUACGUG